UACGUAGGGGGCAAGCGUUGUCCGGAAUCAUUGGGCGUAAAGCGCGUGUAGGCGGUCCGGUAAGUCCGCUGUGAAAGUCCAGGGCUCAACCCUGGGAUGCCGGUGGAUACUGUCGGGCUAGAGUACGGAAGAGGCGAGUGGAAUUCCCGGUGUAGCGGUGAAAUGCGCAGAUAUCGGGAGGAACACCUAUUGCGAAGGCAGCUCGCUGGGACGUCACUGACGCUGAGACGCGAAAGCGUGGGGAGCGAACAGG
rnacentral:rRNA from 1 species